GUGGGGAAUUUUGGACAAUGGGCGCAAGCCUGAUCCAGCAAUGCCGCGUGCAGGAAGAAGGCCUUCGGGUUGUAAACUGCUUUUGUACGGAACGAAACGGUUCUCUCUAAUACAGGGGGCUAAUGACGGUACCGUAAGAAUAAGCACCGGCUAACUACGUGCCAGCAGCCGCGGUAAUACGUAGGGUGCAAGCGUUAAUCGGAAUUACUGGGCGUAAAGCGUGCGCAGGCGGUUUUGUAAGACAGAGGUGAAAUCCCCGGGCUCAACCUGGGAACUGCCUUUGUGACUACAAGGCUGGAGUGCGGCAGAGGGGGAUGGAAUUCCGCGUGUAGCAGUGAAAUGCGUAGAUAUGCGAAGGAACACCGAUGGCGAAGGCAAUCCCCUGGGCCUGCACUGACGCUCAUGCACGAAAGCGUGGGGAGCAAACAGGAUUAGAAACCCUAGUAGUCC
rnacentral:rRNA from 1 species